AUUGAACGCUGGCGGAAUGCUUUACACAUGCAAGUCGAACGGUAGAGGGGCAACCCUUGAGAGUGGCGAACGGGUGAGUAAUGUAUCGGAACGUGCCCAGUCGUGGGGGAUAACGUAGCGAAAGUUACGCUAAUACCGCAUACGAUCUAAGGGUGAAAGCGGGGGAUCGCAAGACCUCGCGCGAUUGGAGCGGCCGAUAUCAGAUUAGGUAGUUGGCGAGGUAAAGGCUCACCAAGCCGACGAUCUGUAGCUGGUCUGAGAGGACGACCAGCCACACUGGGACUGAGACACGGCCCAGACUCCUACGGGAGGCAGCAGUGGGGAAUUUUGGACAAUGGACGCAAGUCUGAUCCAGCCAUUCCGCGUGCAGGAUGAAGGCCUUCGGGUUGUAAACUGCUUUUGUACGGAACGAAAAGGCUCUGGUUAAUACCCGGGGCUCAUGACGGUACCGUAAGAAUAAGCACCGGCUAACUACGUGCCAGCCGCCGCGGUAACAC
rnacentral:rRNA from 1 species